GCCCCUUUGUCUGCCCGCAGACACACAGCUGCCAAACAGCCAGGCUCAAAACUCUACCUUCUUGGACUCUUCCCUGUUUCCAGCCACCGACAUUUAAUCAUUUCAAUUGGACAGACAUGAACAUGACCAACUUUCGCUAGAUCCUUCUUCACAGAGAAAUCCCCAUCCCAGCAUAACCUGCACUGGCCCAUUUCACCCCCUCCCACCUUCUCUCCCUGCCUAGCUGCUCCCUGGGUUUUCUGUAUCAUUCCCUUCUUCUGCCUUCCUCCUGCAGCCUUCAGCAAUGAAGAGUAAGCUCAUAAAACAUUCACCGUGGGUAAUACACCAUGUAGGAUCUGCCUGAUCAAAGUUCUGAUAGGAUAGCCGGGUCAGUAGGAUGCUGGGCUUCCGAGAGUUGGGGCAGACUUCUCUGCCUUGGGCUCAAGUUCCAGUCACUUCCAUUAAUCCAGGCUCAAUCCUCCCUGGUGGGGUGAGGGAUCCUGGGCCCAGUAGAAGAGGGGUUUCCUAAGAGGGAGUAACUUGUAGGGGUACUCCUGAGCUAGGCAUGACUGGUAGGUGGAGCUCUGGAUAAAAGCUGAAGACAAGGGCCUCACAUGGAUACAUGGCCAGUCCACUGGGCACUUCCUCUGUGCCAGGUGUUACAGCGAGAGUUGGGAGGCACCGAAACUUCCAUUUGGAACAAAGCUCCCAGGAAUGAAACCCGAGCUGCCACAGAGAGGCUCCCAGGCUAACCGGGAAGCGGCCGGGAAAGGGAGGGAAAACUUGCAAAGCACGGGGAGCCUCAGGGAGGCCGUGAAACCUGAAGACGAACGGCCAGCCAGCGGACUGGUGCUGGGGAGCUGCCACCACCGGCUGCAGAACCAGAGAGCAGCUCCAGGCUGUCCAGUGACUGUGCCACCAAGUCCCUUGCAAAGGCAAGGCUCUCGGCUGAACUACCAGACUGCCCUGGUGUGGCUCUGACGGCUGACAGUGAAUCCCAACCCAGCAGGAUGUUUUGUUCCGGAGGAGCCUUGAAGUCCAUUCGGCCUAUGAAAGAGGCAAAGUAUCUCAGGCCUGCAGGACCACCAGGUCUUCAAGUCAUGGCAAUCCCAUUGGUGUUACUGGUGAUGUGAGUACAGAUGGAGAUGAGAUUCCAGCCAAUGGGAUAUGAGGAUAAGUCCACUGGGGGUAAUUCUGAGAUGAAUUUCCUGAUUGAAAAAAGACAUUGGGAAGAUAAGGCCUGUCUUCUUCUGCUUCUUCUGUCUUCUUCCUAUCUUGUCCACCUGAGAUGCCUAGAACUAUAGCAACAAUCUUGGAAUCAUGAAUGGUGCUAAUGGAGACAGUUGUG
ensembl:lncRNA